CAGCUUGCCACAGGGAAGAGGGUCCCGCGUGAACCGAACUCAACUUCCACCUGCGCAGAGGCUGGAGUAUAGUGGCAUGAUCAUAGAUCACUGCAGCCUCAAACUCCUGGGCUCAAGCGAUCCUCCCACCUCAGCCUCCAUAUAGCUGGUGGGGACCAAGUUUCUAACACAUGAAUGUUGGGAGACACAUUCAGACCAUCGCAGUGGCCUUAUAAAAAGAGACACAAGAGCUUGCUCUCUGCCAUGUGAGAAUACCACAAGAAGACUGUCCUCAGCAAAUCAGAAAGCGGGUGGACCCUCAUCAGACACCAGAUGUGCCUGCACCUUGAUCUUGGACUUGCCAGCCUUCAGAACAGUAAGAAAGAAAUGUGUGUUGUUUAAGCCACCCAGUCUAUGGUAACUUGCUAUAGCAGCCCACUAGGAGACCCCAAGAUAUUUAAAAACUCAUCAGCACCUGCUUUCUGCAUCUGGACCCUGAUCUUCUGGUGGGUUUACCAGUUACUUGUAGAGUGUCCCUGUGAUAGUUUUAGGUGUCAACUUGACAGGAUUGAGGGAUGCCUAGAUGGCUGGGGAAGCACUGUUUCUGAGAAGGACCAUGUUUUUGGAGGAGACUGUUUUAUGAGUGAAUUUCAGGGGACACAUUCAGAUCAUGGCAGUGGCAUUAUAAAGAGAGACACAAAAGCUUGCUCUCUCUCUCUGCCAUGUAAGACUACCACACAAAGACUGCCAUCUGCAAACCAGAAGCAGGUGGGCUUUCCUCAGACACCAGAUCUGCCUGCACCUUGAUCUUGGACUUGCCAGCCUUCAGAACUCUAAGAAAGAAAUGGUAGCAUGGCUUGGUCUAAGUUGGAAGGCCUGAGAAACAAGCACAUGGUGGAACUGAGUUCAAGGAUAAAGACUUGAGAAUACCUGCUCAGUGGACUGAGUAGGGAAGAUCAACCCUCAAUGUAGGCAGGCACUAUCCAAUCACCUGAGGGCCCAGAUGGAACAAAAAGGUGGAAGAAGGGUGAAUUCUCUCUUCCAGAGCUGUGACACCCUUCUCAUGCCCUUGUACCACACAACUCUAGGUCCUUUGGCCUUUGGACUCUGACACUUGCACCAGUGGCCCUCUGGGGCUCUCAAGCCUUUAGCCUUGAACUUAGUUACACCAUGUGCCUCCUUGUUUCUCAGGCCUUCCAACUUGGAUCAGGCCAUGCCACCGGCUUCUCUGAUUCUCCAGCUUGCAGAUGGUAUAUUGUGACCCUGGCAUUUAAUAACUAUGACUUUGGUCUUAAGCAAUUUUCUUCCUCUGUGGAUUGAUAUUUACAUAUCAAUGUGGAUAAUAAUUUCUUACCACGGUAACUGUUGUGAGGUAAAAAUGAGUUAACAUAAGUAAAACCGAGCACAUGCAAACCAUCCGAAAUGGUUAAUACUUACUAUUUGUACUUGAAGAAAUAAAUGUUUUUGAC
rnacentral:lncRNA from 1 species